rnacentral:rRNA from 1 species
UCAAGAUAUGAAGGGCACACGGUGGAUGCCUUGGCAUCAGGAGCCGAAGAAGGACGUGGACGGCUGCGAUAAGCCGCGGUGAGGCGCUGAACAGCCUUCGACCCGCGGAUCUCCGAAUGGGAAAACCCGGCGCCGGUAAUGCGGCGUCACCCGGCGUUGAAUACAUAGACGCCGGGAGGAAACCGGGAGAACUGAAACAUCUAAGUAUCCCGAGGAACGAAAAUCAACCGAGACUCCCCUAGUAGUGGCGAGCGAACGGGGACCAGCCCAAACCGGGCGGGUGAAAGCGGACACGCGUUGCCUGCCGGGGGUUGUAGGGCUCGUGCCCGGAUCGUGUCCGAUCCGGCGGCAGUUACAAAGUUGGGCGUUAGCUGAAGUCGAGUGGAACCUCGCACCACAGAGGGCAAUCGUCCCGUAAGCGAAAGCGCACCAGCCUGCCGAUCGAGUACCUGAGUAGGACCACUGCCGUGAAACGUGGUCUGAACCUGGGGGGACCACCCUCCAAGGCUAAGUACUACCUGAUGACCGAUAGUGAACUAGUACCGUGAGGGAAAGGUGAAAAGCACCCCUGAUGGGGAGUGAAAUAGUACCUGAAACCGCGUGCCUACAAGUGGUCGGAGCACCCUCGGGUGUGACGGCGUACUUUUUGCAUAACGGGCCGGCGAGUUACUGCUGUGCGGCGAGGUUAAGCGAUGAGCGGAGCCGCAGCGAAAGCGAGUCUGAACAGGGCGUUCAGUCGCACGGCGUAGACCCGAAACCGGGCGAGCUAUCCAUGGGCAGGCUGAAGCGAGGGUAAGACCUCGUGAAGGGCCGAACCGACCUACGUUGAAAAGUGGGCGGAUGACCUGUGGAUAGGAGUGAAAGGCUAAACAAGCCCGGAGAUAUCUGGUUCUCUCCGAAAUAUAUUUAGGUAUAGCCUCGAGUAUGUGCGUAUUGGCCGUAGAGCACUGUUUGGCCUAGGGGCCCUACCAGGUUACCGACGUCAGGCAAACUCCGAAGACCAAUGCGUACCAGCUCGGGAGUCAGUGUGUGGGGGAUAAACUCCAUACGCGAAAGGGAAACAGCCCAGAUCACCAGCUAAGGACCCUAAGUACUGGCUAAGUGGACAACGAUGUCCGAAUGCACAGACAACCAAGAGGUUGGCUUAGAAGCAGCCAUCCUUGAAAGAGUGCGUAACAGCUCACUGGUCAAGUGUUCGGGCGCGGAGAAUGUAACGGGGCUCAAGCCAGUCUCCGAAGCUGUGAGUUCGAGCCGCCUGCGGGCGGAUCGAGCGGUAGGAGAGCGUUCCCAUUGCCGUGAAGCGGGCGCGGAAGCGAACCCGUGGAGCUGUGGGAAGUGAGAAUGCCGGCAUAAGUAGCGCAAGAGAGGUGAGAAUCCUCUCCACCGAUAGUCCGAGGUUUCCUGAGUAAAGUUCGUCUGCUCAGGGUUAGUCGGGACCUAAGGCGAGGCCGAAAGGCGUAGUCGAUGGCCAACGGGUUGAUAUUCCCGUACCACGUCGCAACCGCUAUGACCAAUGGGGUGACGGGGAAGGCUAAGGGAACCCAGGCGAUGGUCGUCCUGGGGUAAGCGUGUAGCCAGUCGCGAUAGGCAAAUCCGUCGCGGCGCUCUGACGCGAGACGCGAUACCAGCUGGCUUGACCGCCGGCGAGUCCCUGAAGCCAUGCCCCCUAGAAAACCCUCUAGGCAGGUUGCUCGUGCCCGUACCGAGAACCGACACAGGUGGACUACUAGAGAAUAGUGAGGUGAGCGAGAUAACCCUCGUUAAGGAACUCGGCAAAAUCGUCCCGUAACUUCGGGAGAAGGGACGCCCCGGUAGGGUGAAGCCACUAGCUGGUGGAGCCUGAGGGGGCCGCAGUGACUAGGUCCAACCGACUGUUUACCAAAAACACAGGCCUCUGCUAAGUCGCAAGACGAUGUAUAGGGGCUGACGCCUGCCCGGUGCCGGAAGGUUACGCGGAGCGGUUAGCCACCUUCGGGUGGCGAAGCUGUGAAGCUAAGCCCCGGUAAACGGCGGCCGUAACUAUAACGGUCCUAAGGUAGCGAAAUUCCUUGUCGGGUAAGUUCCGACCU